rnacentral:rRNA from 1 species
GCAGCAGGCACGCAAAUUACCCACUCCCGGCACGGGGAGGUAGUGACAAAAAAUAACGAUACGGGACUCUAUUGAGGCCCCGUAAUCGGAAUGAGUACACUUUAAAUCCUUUAACAAGGAUCCAUUGGAGGGCAAGUCUGGUGCCAGCAGCCGCGGUAAUUCCAGCUCCAAUAGCGUAUAUUAAAGUUGUUGCGGUUAAAAAGCUCGUAGUUGGUUCUGCGUGCCGCGCUGUCGGUUCGCCGCCUGUCGGUGUAACUGGCAUGUCGCGGCAUGUCCUGUCGGUGGUGAACGGGAUCCCCGGUGCUAACUGAGACUUCUUGUCAAAGUAAUGUGCCGUGUGUGAUGUCGUUUGCCGAUCUCUCCUACUCCGGUGCUCUUAAACGAGUGUCGAGGUAGGCCGACACGUUCACUUUGAACAAAUUAGAGUGCUUAAAGCAGGCUAAAAUAUCUGCCUGAAUAGUGGUGCAUGGAAUGAUAAAAUAGGACCUCGGUUCUAUUUUGUUGGUUUUAGGAAUAUGAGGUAAUGAUCAAUGUGGACUGGCGGGGGCAUUCGUAUUGCGACGUAGAGGUGAAAUUCUUGGAUCGUCGCAAGACGCACUAGAGCGAAAGCAUUUGCCAAGUAUGUCUUAAUUGAUCAAGAACGAAAGUUAGAGGUUCGAAGGCGAUCAGAUACCGCCCUAGUUCUAACCAUAAACGAUGCCAGCCAGCGAUCCGCCGAUGUUCCUAUAAUGACUCGGCGGGGAGCUUCUACUCGGGAAACCAAAGCUUUUGGGUUCCGGGGGAAGUAUGGUUGCAAAGCUGAAACUUAAAGGAAUUGACGGAAGGGCACCACCAGGAGUGGAGCCUGCGGCUUAAUUUGACUCAACACGGGAAACCUCACCAGGCCAGGACAUUGGAAGGAUUGACAGAUUGAUAGCUCUUUCUUGAUUCAGUGGGUAGUGGUGCAUGGCCGUUC